rnacentral:rRNA from 1 species
UGAGGAAUUUUGCACAAUGGGGGAAACCCUGAUGCAGCAACGCCGCGUGUAUGAUGAAGGGGCUAUGCCUUGUAAAGUACUGUCGGACAGGAAAAAAAGUUCCCUUUGGGGACUGGGAUUGUACUGUCAAAGGAAGGGUCGGCUAACUACGUGCCAGCAGCCGCGGUAAUACGUAGGACCCAAGCGUUGUCCGGAAUUACUGGGUGUAAAGGGUGCGUAGGCGGGCUUGCGCGUCGGAGGUUAAAGACCACAGCUUAACUGCGGAAGUGCCUCCGAUACGGUGAGUCUUGAAUUCGAGAGAGGUAAGUAGAAUUCCUGGUGUAGCGGUGAAAUGCGUAGAUAUCAGGAGGAAUACCAGUGGCGAAGGCGGCUUACUGGCUCGACAUUGACGCUGAGGCACGAAAGCGUGGGGAUCAAACAGG